UUCUUAUAUCAUUCUUCCCUUUCCAACUUUACUUUCCCAUCUUUUUCUGAUCUCUUCGCCACAUAUAUCCGUAUAUUCACAUGGCCGUGCUCACACAUACACAUACAGGUCCUCCCUACAACGUGCAUAACUCUACAUUUAUACUGAUCUGAUGACUCUGCCGUCUCUGAGUUGUUUAUGCUCAAUUUGUGCCACUUUGUUUUAUGUCACAUUGCACUAAUUAAAGAGAGAACAAAAGUAAGCAGAGCCUCUACACUGACCUUCAGUACGUUACGGGGCAGUUUAGGCAAAAGGUGCUGAAAACAAACUCUAGAAGUCCUGCAGGUGACAGUAAUGAGCAGAUGCAGAUGUUUAUUCAGAGAUAUCUCCAAGUGUUCAGAUGCUCAGACAGGAGGAGAAUGAGAUUCCGCUGAUAGCAGGUGCUGCUGUCCUCUCCUCUCCGUUAAGUGCCUCCUCCCGUGGUCUUCCAUUUUCAUAUUUCUACGCAUGGCUGCCUUGACAUUUAGUACGGAGAAAUUGACUGUUUUCAGGGACUCUCAGGGGAGCGCUGUAUUACUUUGUCCUGUCAGAAAAAGAUAUCAUGAAAGGAAGGUGAUGUCAGGUCCGCCGGGUUGUUUAUUGAAUUUACGGCGCCAUUAUUUCGCCACUCAGCAUGAUUGUAUUCAUAUUAUACCCCAUCCCACCAAGGUCGCUGGCGCACCACUCGCCUGGUGACCUUGUGCUCGCGGCCCCUGGGGGGCCGGGUUUAACCAGAGAGACGGGGGACCCUUCAGCUUUCAGCUUUGAUGGACAGUCGAAUAAAGCUCGGAGCUCAAUGACACACCAAUCAGACCGUGUCAGAGCUGGAGGAGAGCAGCGGCGGCGGGCAGCGGAAGCAAUGGCGUCGAGGUGAAAAGAGACCGCCGUAUCAACGCAGACAGACUGACUGACUUAUGCCCUCACACGGCGGCCCUCGCUGAGGUCGCACGGCGUGGAAUUGCUGCAUUGAUCAGCUGUGAGGAUGACAACGGGUGUGUGUGUGUUGUCGUUGUCUGACCACCAAUCACAGACUCAACAGGCUCAAUCCUGCAGAGAGAUGGAGGUCUCUUCAGGGGCGAGGUCACGGUUCCUGUUUGACCCUGCAGCCAUGACACUCAGGUCGGCGUCCCGGUGAUCAGUCUGCUCCUGGUUUUGAUCAGAUUUGAUGUUUUACACGGAGCACAGAGGAAGCUGGUUACGUGAUGAUAACGACGUUCUCCAGCUUCCUGAUGGCGGACAGGUGCGGCCGUGUCGUCAGUCUGAUAUGUGAUGCAGCUGCUGCUCGCCGGACUCCUCCAACGUGGACUGAAUGAAGAGAUUUGAUUGGGUGUUUGAGGAGGUUAGUUUGGCUUUGUUCCCUGCUGAGCUCUUGAUCUUAUACGAAACCUUAGUUGCUUAUAAUGAACUGAUAUUUUAGAUUUAAAGCUGAGCCGCUGUUCCACCAGCUUCUGUAACUCAACACAACGUCUCAUUUAAUGUUUCUUUUAUCGUUCUUAUUGUAAAAAAAAAAAAUGAAGGAUGUUCCUGGAGUUUACUUUCCAUAUUCUCAGACCGCUCGGCUCCACUACAGCAGAAAUUCAAACCUUUGAUAUUUUAACAAACUUAAACAGCUUUUAAUUGUGCACACAGAAAAAAACUACAACCCCCAUUAAACAAUCUACAAGUGCAGCAGUGCAGGUACUUAAAGUCACUGUAACUUGGUUUUGUCCAUAACCAUAAAACUACCCUUUCUUUUACCCUUAAUGUCAUUUUUCAUCUGUUUGGUUUGGGCAGAUGGACUUCCUGUUUGAGUAUUUAUUUGGUUUUGAAGAUGCAGAUUGUAUACGGCAGGUUUUUUCUUUAAUAAUUUACUUGUAUUUUACAUUUUUUUACCCUUAAUGUCAUUUUUCAUCAAAUAUAUAAAGUGAGCCUUAUGUGUUCGGCUCUCUAUGUGGCACUAAGUCAAAAUAAACUACAGUAGUGUUUGUGUUCAUGGUAAAUCUUUGUACCACUAUCAAGAAAAUGACACUAAAUUCUAAAAAAUAAACAUGUUGACUCAAUAAAGAAGCGGUUCCUGACAUUUUUACAGUGAGAUUGAUAUAUUGAAAGUUUUGAUGCUGAUAACAGAGACCAGAAAAGGUUUUCCUUAAAGCCAAUGUGGCUUUUUUUCACUUUCAGUAACAUUUUAGGAGUCAAUAUUCUAAACGAGUUGUCGAGAUGGAGAUUCAGUUGAACGGUUGAACAUAAGCUGUGAUGAUUUGUAGACAAAUUUUCGCCAAUCUCUUACUGUCCCUGCAGGGUGAGAGAACAUUAAGGUGUCUCAGCGUACGUUAACUCCUUCACAGUUUCUCGCUAAUGUUUCAGAAUUGGAGAGAAAAUUGACUUUCUAAUGUGAGUUGUUACAAUGCCACCGGUAUGAAUGGAUGUUUCUUCAUUAAGAAGUUAAAGCCUCCUUGGUAUACAUUAUGUAAACCAGCACUCAAUACACCUCAGGUGUGCACUUAAUUCUGCUCUCCUCCAACCUCACCAAUAGCAUCAUUAAAACCCCAUUAUGCAUAAUAAAGGAAGGAGAACUCGCUCUGAAUUGCUGAGAGCCAAAAUAUAUGGCACACUUCUGUGAAGUGCUGCUGGGAACAAAACGACAAAUUCUGGUUCUAAUCAUCACAAAUAAAAACAAAUGAAGAAAUGCAAAAUACCAGCAUUAUAUCAACAGCGAACACUAUAACCUGUAUGAAGAGCAGGACACAGAAACUAAAUGAUAAAGUAAAUGUGACUUGAUGAUGAGUGAAGAUUUUCAUGUCUCCUCCCUCUGACUAUGAUCUCUACAUUAGAGAGUAAUUAAAAUGCCAAAAUUCAAAACCCUGGAUGUGCAGUCAUUCACACAGAGACAAAAACUUCAGGUCUUCCUCACACCAGCAUUUAUAACAAUGGAACUAACUAGAUAGAGGCAGGAGUUGAUGGUACUUAUACAUCUUUUGAAUCCACUGUGUGAACUUAUUGUCCUGUUUAGCGACAGAGCUAAGCUAAGACAGCUUUAUAUUUUCUCUUUAAUAACUUUUUUUUUUAACAGAAUGUCAAGAGGAAGUAAAAAGAACAGUAGAGUGAAAAUAGAGAGAAGCUGUUGUGGCUGACUGGCGCUAACCUAGCUGGGCUGGCUAGCGAGUUAGCGCUUAGCUCGCCAGCUACAGCAAACCUCACUGGGCUGGCUAGCGAGUUAGCAGUUAGCUCACCAGCUACAGAAAACCUUGCUGGGCUGGCAAGCAAGUUAGCGGUUAGCUCACCAGCUACAGCAAACCUCGCUGGGCUGGCUAGCGAGUUAGCGGUUAGCUCACCAGCUACAGCAAACCUCGCUGGGCUGGCUAGCGAGUUAGCAGUUAGCUCGCCAGCUACAGCAGUUCAUCAACUAGCCUUGGUGGUUCAGAGCUACAAGAGACACUUUCACAUUACAUUAAUAACUGUGCAUGGAGUCCCUGGUCCCAGAACAUUUUGAGUGGUUAUAUCACUAAAUGGAAGCUUAAUGGAAAUCAUUUUUGAAACUACAAAAGUGAAAAUCUAUAGAGGAGGUUUCACAAAAAAAAAAUUGACAAAAUCAAAAA